UGCUAGACGCAAUUUGUCCACUUUAAGAAAGCUAGUGUCCUUAUAAUGGGACAAACCCGACAGGUUACGGCUCCCACUGUCAUACACACAUUCAUACACAAUACACAUGUUACUGCCACCAUGUAUGAAGGCUAACAUAAGCUUCAGCACCAUAAUCCUGUAGAUAUCUGUGGAAUAUCCAGGAGUCUCGUUCGUUAUCGGAAUUAACCAGACAAAUCACUCCACGAACUACGAACAGCCUUGCACCACAGCCCAUAGAUUCGAGAGAGAGCUAUCAAUCUUUAUUACACACUUAUGUUCGGACCUGGUAAGUUUUCCCGUGUUGAGUCAAAUUAAGCCGCAGGCUCCACUCCUGGUGGUGCCCUUCCGUCAAUUCUUUAAGUUUCAGCUUUGCAACCAUACUUCCCCCGGAGCCCAAAAGAUUUGGUUUCCCGGGAAGCGAUUGAAAGAGCCAUAAAAGUAGCUACACCCAAUUGCUAGCUGGCAUCGUUUAUGGUUAGAACUAGGGCGGUAUCUGAUCGCCUUAGAACCUCUAACUUUCGUUCUUGAUUAAUGAAAACAUCUUUGGCAAAUGCUUUCGCUUAAGUUAGUCUUACGACGGUCCAAGAAUUUCACCUCUCGCGUCGUAAUACUAAUGCCCCCAAACUGCUCCUAUUAAUCAUUACCUCUUGAUUUGAAAACCAAUGAAAGCAGAACAGAGGUCUUAUUUCAUUAUCCCAUGCACAGAAUAUUCAGGCAUUUGAAGCCUGCUUUAAGUACUCUAAUUUGUUCAAAGUAAUAGUACCGGCCCACAAUAACACUCGUUUAAGAGCACUAGUGCAGGUUUUUAAAUAGGAGGAACAUAUGAAAAAAUACAAGUAUUUAAUCACAUAUAAGAACUCCACCGGUAAUACGCUUACAUACAUAAAGGUAUAGUACUAACCACAAUUGUAAGUUGUACUACCCGUGUUGGGAUGCUGGGGGUUGCUGGUCCUGGAAUUUUCCAACCAGCGCAAAAUCAAUAGAUACGACAGACCGGACUAACGAACUGAAUUGCGUCGCAGACUCGAAGCCGCAGGUGACAUUGAAUUCGAUAGAUUUCCAUACCUCCGCGAUAAAAAAAAAAAAAAAAUAUCCAAAUGCCUCGUCAUCUAAUUAGUGACGGCCAUGAAUGGAUUAACGAGAUUCCUACUGUCCCUAUCUACUAUCUAGCGAAACCACAGCCAAGGGAACGGGCUUGGAAUAAUUAGCGGGGAAAGAAGACCCUUUUGAGCUUGACUCUAAUCUGGCAGUGUAAGGAGACAUAAGAGGUGUAGAAUAAGUGGGAGAUAUUAGACCUCGGUUUGGUAUCGUCAAUGAAAUACCACUAAUCUUAUUGUUUCCUUACUUACUUGAUUAAAUGGAACGUGUAUCAUUUCCUAGCCAUUAUACGGAUAUAUUUAUUAUAUCUUAUGGUAUUGGGUUUUGAUGCAAGCUUCUUGAUCAAAGUAUCACGAGUUUGUUAUAUAAUCGAAUACAAAUUCUUUAAUAAAAUGAUGCAUUUAUGUAUUUUUGAUUUGAAAAUUUGGCAUAACUCAGGUAUGAUCCAAUUUAAGGACAUUGCCAGGUAGGGAGUUG
rnacentral:ncRNA from 1 species